GAUGAACGCUAGCUACAGGCUUAACACAUGCAAGUCGAGGGGCAGCAUGGACAUAGCUUGCUAUGUUUGAUGGCGACCGGCGCACGGGUGCGUAACACGUAUCCAAUCUGCCCGUUACUCGGGGAUAGCCUUCUGAAAGGAAGAUUAAUACCCGAUGGCAUGUAUUUCCGGCAUCGGAGAUACAUUAAAGAUUUAUCGGUAACGGAUGAGGAUGCGUACGAUUAGCUUGUUGGCGGGGUAACGGCACACCAAGGCAACGAUCGUUAGGGGUUCUAAGAGGAAGGUCCCCAACACUGGAACUGGGACCAGGUCCAGAGUCCUACGGGAGGCAGCAGUGAGGAAUAUUGGUCAAUGGUCGGAAGACUGAACCAGCCAAGUAGCGUGAAGGAUGACUGCCCUACGGGUUGUAAACUUCUUUUGUUUGGGAAUAAAAGACGCUACGUGUAGCGUUCUGCAUGUACCUUACGAAUAAGCAUCGGCUAAUUCCGUGCCAGCAGCCGCCGUAACAC
rnacentral:rRNA from 1 species